rnacentral:rRNA from 1 species
UAACGCGUGGAUAACCUGCCUCACACUGGGGGAUAACAGUUAGAAAUGACUGCUAAUACCGCAUAAGCGCACAGUACCGCAUGGUACAGUGUGAAAAACUCCGGUGGUGUGAGAUGGAUCCGCGUCUGAUUAGCCAGUUGGCGAGGUAACGGCCCACCAAAGCGACGAUCAGUAGCCGACCUGAGAGGGUGACCGGCCACAUUGGGACUGAGACACGGUCCAA